AAAGGGCGCCGUGGUC
rnacentral:misc_RNA from 1 species